rnacentral:rRNA from 1 species
UAAGGGAUAUUGCACAAUGGGCGCAAGCCUGAUGCAGCAACGCCGCGUGCGCGAGGAAGGCCUUCGGGUCGUAAAGCGCUUUUCGGGCUGACGAUAAUGACGGUAAGCCCGGAAUAAGUGUCGGCUAACUACGUGCCAGCAGCCGCGGUAAAACGUAGGACGCAAGCGUUAUCCGGAGUUACUGGGCGUAAAGCGCGGGCAGGCGGCCCGCCAAGUGGGACGUGAAAGCGCCCGGCUCAACCGGGCGAGGCCGUUCCAGACUGGCGGGCUGGAGAGCAGCAGAGGUGGGUGGAAUUCCGGGUGGAGUGGUGAAAUGCGUAGAGAUCCGGAGGAACACCAGAGGCGAAGGCGGCCCACUGGGCUGCGACUGACGCUCAACCGCGACAGCCAGGGGAGCGAACGGG